ACUCAGGUUAAGGUACUGGGACGGUCCUAAAGGAACUGCCUACGCAAGUAGUGAGGAAGGCGGGGAUGACGUCAAAUCAGCACGGCCCUUACGUCCAGGGCUACACACGUGCUACAAUGGCCGAUACAGAGGGCAGCUACCUGGUGACAGGAUGCAAAUCUCCAAAGUCGGUCUCAGUUCGGAUCGGAGUCUGCAACCCGACUCCGUGAAGUUGGAUUCGCUAGUAAUCGCGCAUCAGCCAUGGCGCGGUGAAUACGUUCCCGGGCCUU
rnacentral:rRNA from 1 species